AUUGAACGCUGGCGGCGUGCCUUACACAUGCAAGUCGAACGGCAGCACGGGAGCUUGCUCCUGGUGGCGAGUGGCGGACGGGUGAGUAAUGCAUAGGAAUCUGCCCAGUAGCGGGGGACAACUUGGGGAAACUCAAGCUAAUACCGCAUGCGCCCUACGGGGGAAANCGGGGGGACCUUCGGGCCUCGCACUAUUGGAUGAGCCUAUGUCAGAUUAGCUUGUUGGUGGGGUAACGGCCUACCAAGGCGACGAUCUGUAGCUGGUCUGAGAGGACGAUCAGCCACACUGGGACUGAGACACGGCCCAGACUCCUACGGGAGGCAGCAGUGGGGGAAUAUUGCACAAUGGGCGAAAGCCUGAUGCAGCAAUGCCGCGUGUGUGAAGAAGGCCUGCGGGUUGUAAAGCACUUUCAGUAGGAGGAAACAGUAGCCGGUUAAUAUCCGGUUGCCUUGACGUUACCUACAGAAGAAGCACCGGCUAACUCUGUG
rnacentral:rRNA from 1 species